CUUCUUCGAUCUGUUGCGGGCAGAUGAAAUGAAUAUGGGCAUCCAUACCACCAGCUGUGAGAAUUUUCCCUUCACCCGCAAUCGCCUCGGUCGAGGGGCCGACAAUGAUGGUUACACCUGACUGCGUAUCCGGGUUCCCAGCCUUGCCGAUGGCGUGUAUGCGGCCAUCCUUCAAACCGAUAUCGGCCUUGUAGACACCGCUAUGAUCGACAACGACGACAUUGGUAAUGACGGUGUCAACAGCACCUUCAGCGCGCGUGGCCUGGCUUUGCCCCAUGCCAUCACGAAUG
rnacentral:sRNA from 1 species